GGCGGCAGGCCUAACACAUGCAAGUCGAACGGUAACAGGAUAGCUUGCUAUCGCUGACGAGUGGCGGACGGGUGAGUAAUACUUAGGGAUCUGCCCUUGGGUGGGGGAUAACCAUUGGAAACGAUGGCUAAUACCGCAUAAUGUCUACGGACCAAAGGGGGCUUCGGCUCUCACCUGAGGAUGAACCUAAGCGAGAUUAGCUUGUUGGUGAGGUAAAGGCUCACCAAGGCGACGAUCUCUAGCUGUUCUGAGAGGAAGAUCAGCCACACUGGGACUGAGACACGGCCCAGACUCCUACGGGAGGCAGCAGUGGGGAAUAUUGCACAAUGGGGGAAACCCUGAUGCAGCCAUGCCGCGUGUGUGAAGAAGGCCUUAGGGUUGUAAAGCACUUUCAGACGUGAGGAAAGUUUGUUGGUUAAUACCCAACAGAUGUGACGUUAGCGUCAGAAGAAGCACCGGCUAACUCCGUGCCAGCAGCCGCGGUAAUACGGAGGGUGCGAGCGUUAAUCGGAAUUACUGGGCGUAAAGCGCACGCAGGCGGUUAUAUAAGCUAGAUGUGAAAGCCCCGGGCUUAACCUGGGAGAGUCAUUUAGAACUGUAUGACUAGAGUUUUGGAGAGGGGAGUGGAAUUCCAGGUGUAGCGGUGAAAUGCGUAGAUAUCUGGAGGAACAUCAGUGGCGAAGGCGGCUCUCUGGCCAAAACUGACGCUCAUGUGCGAAAGCGUGGGU
rnacentral:rRNA from 1 species